UAUUUUGGCCAGGAGCUGAAGUUGGUUGUUUAGUAGUAGUAGUUUGAGUAGUGACCGAAGUAGUAGUCUGGUGUGUGGGUGCAAGAGUAGUUGGGGAAGAAUUAGGUGUGGUAAUUGGGGCAGCUGUGGUCUCUUGUGGAGCUGGGGAAGACGGUGGAGCUGGUGUAGUUGCAGAAGGUGUGGGUGGGGCAGCUGUGGUCUCUGGUGGAGCUGAGGCGGAUGAUGGGUCUAGGGUAGUUGCAGAAGGUGUGGGUGGGGCAGCUGUGGUCUCUGGUGGAGCUGAGGAAGAUGGUGGAGCUGGUGUAGUUGCAGGAGGUGUGGGUGGGGCAGCUGUGGUGUCUUGUGGAGCUGGGGAAUUCACUGGUGCUAAUGUAGCUACAGAAGAGCUUGUGUUAACAUUUUCUCUUGAAGAUAUGGUGGUGGCAUUCUGGGGAAGAAAAGUCACAUUUGGAAGGGUAGUAAUUUUGGUGGCUGGUGAGGAUUUGGGAAUUUGGGGGGGUUAUUAGGUGAAGGUGGAAGCUUAGGCCUACAGCGUUUGUGCAG
rnacentral:lncRNA from 1 species